UACCUGCAGCACAAGUGCCUUGCCGGGCUUCACAUGAGUCAUGACAAAUCAUAAGGAUAGAGCUUCACGGAAGAGGAAGAGAGCCGCCAUCGCGGCAUGUCGAGCACGGGCAGCAGCUGCAUUUUCACACCAUUCAAGGAAGGCGAAUUCGCCGGAGAGCAACAGAGAGCAACGCCAAAGCGCCGCCUGUACGCCAUGCUUGGACGACAGUGGUUUUGCCAGAGAGGAUGACGCAACGUCUGAAUACUGGGACAAUUUCGGCAUCGUCGAGGAGUCGCUGCCGGGCCUGAGUCUGGAGACAAGCGUCACAACUCAGCCAGAGGAGCCGAUCAUCACCGGAAGACGAGUUGUGUCGCUGGCCCAUUUCGUGAACGCUGUUCGUAGUCUCGACGACCACAGCUGUCCUAAGCUGACUGGACGUUUUGCACUCGUGAAAGAACAGAGUGGGGCUCUGGUCGGAGCUCACUUUUACCUGCAGUGAAUGUCAGGAAAUCAGAAAGUUGACGACUGACCCCGUCACAGAACCAACGUCCCUCACUGACAAAGCAAACGUAGGAGUCAAUGAUGCUGCUGUUUGGGCAUUCAUGAGUAUCGGAUCGGGCCACUCGCAGUUCGAGGAAGCAAUGGCAGUCAUGGAAAUUCCUGCUAUGAGCAAAGGGGCUUUUCUACGCCGGGAGGAGUCCCUGGGAAAGUGCUGGAAAACCGUCCUUUUUGACCAAAUGAUAAAAGCC